GCUUCUUUCCUCCCGAGUGCUUGCACUCAAUUGGAAAGAGGAGUGGCGGACGGGUGAGUAACACGUGGGUAACCUACCCAUCAGAGGGGGAUAACACUUGGAAACAGGUGCUAAUACCGCAUAACAGUUUAUGCCGCAUGGCAUAAGAGUGAAAGGCGCUUUCGGGUGUCGCUGAUGGAUGGACCCGCGGUGCAUUAGCUAGUUGGUGAGGUAACGGCUCACCAAGGCCACGAUGCAUAGCCGACCUGAGAGGGUGAUCGGCCACACUGGGACUGAGACACGGCCCAGACUCCUACGGGAGGCAGCAGUAGGGAAUCUUCGGCAAUGGACGAAAGUCUGACCGAGCAACGCCGCGUGAGUGAAGAAGGUUUUCGGAUCGUAAAACUCUGUUGUUAGAGAAGAACAAGGACGUUAGUAACUGAACGUCCCCUGACGGUAUCUAACCAGAAAGCCACGGCUAACUACGUGCCAGCAGCCGCGGUAAUACGUAGGUGGCAAGCGUUGUCCGGAUUUAUUGGGCGUAAAGCGAGCGCAGGCGGUUUCUUAAGUCUGAUGUGAAAGCCCCCGGCUCAACCGGGGAGGGUCAUUGGAAACUGGGAGACUUGAGUGCAGAAGAGGAGAGUGGAAUUCCAUGUGUAGCGGUGAAAUGCGUAGAUAUAUGGAGGAACACCAGUGGCGAAGGCGGCUCUCUGGUCUGUAACUGACGCUGAGGCUCGAAAGCGUG
rnacentral:rRNA from 1 species